rnacentral:misc_RNA from 1 species
GAUGAGAACGUAGCGAAAUGCGAUAAGUAAUGUGAAUUGCAGAAUUCAGUGAAUCAUCGAAUCUUUGAACGCACAUUGCGCCCAUUAGUAUUCUAGUGGGCAUGCCUGUUCGAGCGUCAUUUCAACCCUUAAGCCUAGCUUAGUAUUGGGAAUCGACUUUACUGUCGUUCCUCAAAUUCAACGGCGGAUUUAUAGCAAUCUCUGAACGUAGUAAUUUUUUUCCUCGUUUUUGAAAUACUAUAAACCUCAGCCGCUAAACCCCCAAUUUUUCUAUGGUUGACCUCGGAUCAGGUAGGAAUACCCGCUGAACUUAAGCAUAUCAAUAAGCGGAGGA